rnacentral:rRNA from 1 species
UGGGGAAUUUUGGACAAUGGGCGAAAGCCUGAUCCAGCAAUGCCGCGUGUGUGAAGAAGGCCUUCGGGUUGUAAAGCACUUUUGUCCGGAAAGAAAUCCUUGGCUCUAAUACAGUCGGGGGAUGACGGUACCGGAAGAAUAAGCACCGGCUAACUACGUGCCAGCAGCCGCGGUAAUACGUAGGGUGCAAGCGUUAAUCGGAAUUACUGGGCGUAAAGCGUGCGCAGGCGGUUUGCUAAGACCGAUGUGAAAUCCCCGGGCUCAACCUGGGAACUGCAUUGGUGACUGGCAGGCUAGAGUAUGGCAGAGGGGGGUAGAAUUCCACGUGUAGCAGUGAAAUGCGUAGAGAUGUGGAGGAAUACCGAUGGCGAAGGCAGCCCCUGGGCAAUACUGACGCUCAUGCACGAAAGCGUGGGGAGCAAACAGGAUUAGAUACCCUGGUAGUCCACGCCCUAAACGAUGUCAACUAGUUGUUGGGGAUUCAUUUCCUUAGUAACGUAGCUAACGCGUGAAGUUGACCGCCUGGGGAGUACGGUCGCAAGAUU